ACGAGGUGAAGCCAGCGGGUAACUUCUGGUGGAUUGUGGACGAGUGAGAAUGCAGGCAUGAGUAGCGAAAGACGGGUGAGAAACCCGUCCGCCGGAUGACUAAGGGUUCCAGGGUCAAGCUAAUCUGCCCUGGGUAAGUCGGGACCUAAGGCGAGGCCGACAGGCGUAGUCGAUGGACAACGGGUUGAUAUUCCCGUACCAGUGAAGAACCGCCCAUGCUGAGCCGGUGAUACUAACCGCCCGAACCAUCCCGAACCUCGUCUUUGACGGGGACGGUGGUGGGGAGCGCGGGACCUGAACCGGGGGAGGCAAGCGCAUUAACAGGUGUGACGCAGGAAGGUAGCCGGGCCGGGCAAUGGAAAUGACCUGGUCUAAGGGUGUAGGGCUGCCGGUAGGUAAAUCCGCCGGCUGUAUGCCUGAGACCUGAUGGGCGCCCACAUGGUGGGUGAUCCGGUGAUCCUAUGCUGCCUAGAAAAGCAUCGGCGCGAGGUUCAAACUGCCCGUACCCUAAACCGACACAGGUGGUCAGGUAGAGAAUACUAAGGCGAUCGAGAGAAUCAUGGUUAAGGAACUCGGCAAAAUGCCCCCGUAACUUCGGGAGAAGGGCCCCAACCUUGAGCACCACUCGCUGGUGUGAGGGGAUCGGGGCCGCAGAGACCAGGGGGAAGCGACUGUUUAUCAAAAACACAGGUCCAUGCGAAGUCGUAAGAGAUGUAUAUGGACUGACUCCUGCCCGGUGCUGGAAGGUUAAGGGGACCCGUUAGCUUCGGCGAAGCGGAGAACUUAAGCCCCAGUAAACGGCGGUGGUAACUAUAACCAUCCUAAGGUAGCGAAAUUCCUUGUCGGGUAAGUUCCGACCUGCACGAAUGGAGUAACGACUUCCCCGCUGUCUCAACCGUGAACUCGGCGAAAUUGCAUUACGAGUAAAGAUGCUCGUUACGCGCAGAAGGACGGAAAGACCCCGUGACCUUUACUAUAGUUUGGUAUUGGUGUUCGGUGUGGCUUGUGUAGGAUAGGUGGGAGACUGUGAAGCGGGCACGCCAGUGUUCAUGGAGUCAUCGUUGAAAUACCACUCUGGUCACUCUGGAU
rnacentral:rRNA from 1 species